rnacentral:rRNA from 1 species
UACGAGGGGGGCAAGCGUUGUUCGGAAUUAUUGGGCGUAAAGGGUGCGUAGGCGGUCUGACAAGUCUGAUGUGAAAUCUAUGGGCUCAACCCAUAGUCUGCAUCGGAAACUGUCGGGCUGGAGUAUGGGAGAGGUGAGUGGAAUUCCUGGUGUAGCGGUGGAAUGCGUAGAUAUCCGGAAGAACACCGGAGGCGAAGGCGGCUUGCUGGACCUGGUCUGACGCUGAGGCGCGAAAGCGUGGGGAGCGAACAGG